ensembl:lncRNA
GAUCUCCCACGGCUGUCGUGUCUUAUGCCUUCAUUUUUUGGACUGUGAGCCUCACUACCUGCAACAGAUAAAGUGAAGAUUCCCGGGCUCUGCGCAAGCGGGGUCUGCCGGGAGCCCUCAGGGUGGAGCCCGGGAAUCGGAAUUUUAAACAGCGCCCGGGUGGCUCUUGGGCACACGCAAGUUGGAGAGUUGUUAGGCCAUACCUCCCUGAGCUGAUGGUACGAAACUAACGACCUACAGGGUAACCAUUUAGAAAAUUUAAAAAACUCUAAAGCAAUGGUUCUUAACGCUGACAGCAUGGACCAGGUGUUAAAUUUAUCUGGGAGCUUUUAGAGUAUUCAGAUGCCAAGGUGAGUUCUGAGUGUGAACAUUGGUAUUUUGUUUGUUUUAAAGCUUCCCAGAUAAUUCUAACUUAUGGCCAGGAUUGAGAACAAUUGUGCUAGAAUCAUCUCUUUCCAGCGCACCUAGUUCAGGUGUCUGGGCAAGGAACCCCAUCCUCUCACCCCCGCAAAUCUCGACAACAGAAAACAAGUAAAUACACAAACUCCCAGGGGAGUGCUCACAGGCAAAACUGUUUUCAACCAGAACAAAGACUCUCCUUGAAAAAGGUGACCAACAUACCUUACUGCCACCUGAGCACCGCUCUCCUUAACUGCAGGAAAAGUAUCUUUUAUGAGCCAAAACCUGUUAACUGAGUUAUGAAUGACAAUACAUGAACCCUGUAAAAUAAUAUUCUACUAUAUUCCUACAUAUUUGUUACCCACUGUUAAACCACUGCCGGGUCAGACCAAGCAUUCAAAAGCCAAGGGUGUGUUGGACAUCAGCCCUGGCUUUUCCAAUGACUUGACUUGCAUCACUUCGCUCUGCUCUUCUAGUGACCUUAAGUGACCACAAUCAGGAUUUUUGGACAGGUACAGUAAAUUCCCUUUCUUGCGCCUUUUGGCUCUCCUAGUUAUGUUUUGCCUUCUUAGAUGGGUGGGCCAUAACUUCCAUCUCAUUUGCCUCUAUGUAGGUCUCCAUUAGUGUCUCCCAUUUAGCAGCAACUAAUUAGUAACUAAGCCAGUGAUUCUGCUUUUUCUCCAAAUCCCCCCAGUACAUAGUUGUAUAUUUUAGUUGUGGGUCAUUCUCGUUGUAGCAUGUGGGACGCUGCCUCAGCAUGGCCUGAUAAGUGGUGCCAUGUCCGCGCCGAGGAUCCAAACCAGCAAAACCCUGGGCCGCCAGAGCAGAGCAUGAGAACUUCACCACUCGGCCGUGGGGCUGGCCCCUAAGCCAAUGAUUCUUAAACACUUUAUGCAACAGGAGUGUUUGGUGGAUCUUACGUGGUAUUGUACUGGAAGGAAGAGUUAAGCCUUCGAUUCCCCAAGCUGUUGAAAGGAUCCAGUCUUCCCCAGUGCUGUUGCCAUCUUCCAGGGAAGUGUCUUUGACUUUGGUCUUGAAGAGAGUUUUAUCCCCCCAUGUCACAGGAUCCUAAUGUUGGGACCUCAGGUAUCAUCUAGUUCAACACUCUCUUUUUAAAUGUUUUUGGUGGUUAUCUAAUAUGUUUUUUAUUUCCAAUUUUUCUUUCUGCCUUCUACCUACCCUCCCAUCCUUGCUCUUUGAUUAGCUAAGCUGGAAGUUCUCAAAUUUUUGGUCUCAGGACUGUAAAUUUUUAUAAACACACCUAAAAAUUGUUGAUGACCCCAAAGAGGUUUUGAUCAUGUGGGUUUCACUAUCAAUAUUUUAGAAGCUAAAAUUGAGAAAUUUUAAAAAUAUUUGUUACCUCAUUUAAAACAGUAAGUCCACUACAUGUUAACAUAGAUUAUAUAAUAUAGCCCACUGUGUGUGCAGGUGUCAUCUGGCCCUCUUCACAUUGCCCUGUGGGAAAUGGGGUUCAGAAGACCAGCACAAAUGUUGAUACUCUGUCUACUGCUAUGGCCUUGGGUAAUAAAC